rnacentral:rRNA from 1 species
UACGUAGGGUGCAAGCGUUGUCCGGAAUUAUUGGGCGUAAAGAGCUCGUAGGCGGUUUGUCGCGUCUGCUGUGAAAAACUCGGGGCUUAACUCCGGGCCUGCAGUGGGUACGGGCAGACUAGAGUUCGGUAGGGGAGUCUGGAAUUCCUGGUGUAGCGGUGAAAUGCGCAGAUAUCAGGAGGAACACCGGUGGCGAAGGCGGGUCUCUGGGCCGAUACUGACGCUGAGGAGCGAAAGCGUGGGGAGCGAACAGG